rnacentral:rRNA from 1 species
CUACGGGCGGCUGCAGGCGCGAAACCUCUACAAUGCACGCAAGUGUGAUAAGGGGAUCCUAAGUGCUCAUGCAUAGCAUGGGCUUUUGCCAAGAGUAAAUAUCUUGGAGAAUAAGUGGUGGGUAAGACUGGUGCCAGCCGCCGCGGUAACACCAGCGCCACGAGUGGCAUCCACGUUUAUUGGGCCUAAAGCGUCCGUAGCCGGUUUGGUAAAUCUCUUGUGAAAUCGUCGGGCUCAACCCGACGGCGCGCUUGAAACACUGCCAGACUUGAGACCGGGAGGAGUUAGAGGUAUUCCAGGGGGAGCGGUAAAAUGUGAUAAUCCCUGGAGGAUCACCUAUGGCGAAGGCAUCUAACCAGAACGGAUUUGACGGUCAGGGACGAAGGCUAGGGGAGCGAUCCGGAUUAGAUACCCCCGUAGUC